CAACACGACUCAUUCGGAUAGUGCUUAUCUUUUAUCUCCCUUUGUCAUGUCUAAAUCGACUCGGUUUUUUGUUUGACGAUUUGGUUAGGUCGGCCCAUAAUUUACCUUACAUCUCUGGGCCAUAAGGACGUGUCUGGUUUUUGAUAUUCGGCGUUGGGAGCAGUUGACAACCAACUAAUUCAGGGUUAAUCUUUUGAGGCAUCAGAGAUGGGUUCGGUAUCCAAUAUUAAGAUUGUGGAUUGGAAUGCAAGCAUGCAAUUGCCAACUUGAUCAUGUACUUCACUACCUCCUCAACUUCAGAAGACGGAGGUGAAAGGCGUUGGUCCAAUACAUCGCUCAGUGCUACAUUUUCAACAGCUGAUGUCGAUAGAAAGGAAACAAAAUCUCCUGGAUGCUUUCCCUUGAUCACUUCCAGUGCUAACACUCCAAAGCUAAACACGUCACACUUCUCAGUUACCUUCAUUGUGUAGGCAAGCUCUGCGAAAGGAGAGAGAGAGAGAGACCGAUAAGAGUUUGUAACACCACUUUCGAUAACCCUAAGAAAUUGAACUUCAGUUAUAAUUAGCCAGGGGUGCGCAAUGUUAUAAGCGGGUAAACAUGGUCCAUGUAUGAGUAUACAAAUUGUAUGAUCUGGUGUGUCUGUCCAACAUGAAGGUAUAUAAAAGAGGAAUUGAGGGGAAGCAAGUCGGGCUAAAUAGGGAAUCUGACAUUCGAAUUGGAUUUGAGAAAUAAGAAGAUAUAUGGUGUGAAGUAUUGUAUCACGGGAAUUAUGAUGUAUAAUGACUUUUUAUCGGGUGGGCUAUUACGAAGGCAAUGAUGAGUAUAUGCUUUA